rnacentral:rRNA from 1 species
GGAGGUUGGCUUAGAAGCAGCCACCCUUGAAAGAGUGCGUAAUAGCUCACUGGUCGAGUGGUUCUGCGCUGACAAUCCAACGGGGCUCAAGCCCGUCACCGAGGCUGUGGGAGUAGGCGAUGCCUACUCGGUAGGGGAGCGUUCUGGUCAGCGGCGAAGGGGUAUCGAAAGACGCCCUGGAGCGGCCAGAAGAGAGAAUGUCGGCAUGAGUAGCGUUUAAUGCGUGAGAAUCGCAUUCGCCGAAACCCUCAGGUUUCCGACGCAAGGUUCGUCCGCGUCGGGUUAGUCGGGCCUAAGGCGCAGCCGCAAGGCGAGGCCGAUGGACAACGGGUUAAUAAUCCCGUACCGCACCAGGGGAGCCAACUGGGGACGCAGUGACGUAGGCCAGCCCACGAAUGGUUGAGUGGGUGCGCAAGCGAGCCUUCGGGCGGAAGUGGCUGGGCGUGACUGCCAAGAAAAGCCGUGUUGGCGAUGAAGCUGGUGUGCCCGUACCGCAUACCGACACUGGUAGGGAGGUCGAGUAGACCGAGGCGAACGGGAGAACUCUGGUUAAGGAACUCGGCAACAUGCACGCGUAACUUCGGGAGAAGCGUGACCGUGGCGACACGGUGGCACAGAAGAGGCCCUACCGACUGUUUACCAAAAACACAGGUCUCUGCGAAGGUGAAAACCGACGUAUAGGGGCUGACGCCUGCCCAGUGCCGGAAGGUUAAGGGGAGAGGUGCGAGCUUUGAACCGAAGCCCCGGUGAACGGCGGCCGUAACUAUAACGGUCCUAAGGUAGCGAAAUUCCUUGUCGGGUAAGUUCCGACCCGCACGAAAGGCGUAACGAGUGGGGCGCUGUCUCAACCAGAGACCCGGCGAAGUUGAGGUGGCCGUGAAGACGCGGCCAACCCGCAGCAGGACAAAAAGACCCCGUGGAGCUUUACUACAGCUUGGCAUCGGGUUAGGGCAUUGUUUGCGUAGGAUAGGUGGGAGGCAAUGAAGUUGGGGUUGCGGCCUCGACGGAGCCAGCGUUGAAAUACCACCCUGACGGUGUUUUGGCCCUAACGGCGCGAGAGAACGCGCUGGACGGCGCCAGGUGGGUAGUUUGACUGGGGCGGUCGCCUCCUAAAAGGUAACGGAGGCGCCCAAGGGUUCCCUUAGGGUGAAUGGAAACCACCCGUCAAGUGCAAAGGCAUAAGGGAGCUUGACUGCGAGACCUACAAGUCGAGCAGGGACGAAAGUCGGGCUUAGUGAUCCCACGGUACCGAGUGGAAGGGCCGUGGC